AUUAGAUACCCUGGUAGUCCACGCCCUAAACGAUGUUAACUAGUUGUUGGGAAGUAAUAUUCUCAGUAACGCAGCCAACGCGAGAAGUUAACCGCCUGGGAAGUACGGUCGCAAGACUAAAACUCAAAGGAAUUGACGGGGACCCGCACAAGCGGUGGAUGAUGUGGAUUAAUUCGAUGCAACGCGAAAAACCUUACCUACCCUUGACAUGUCAGGAAGCUCUUGUAAUGAGAGUGUGCCCGCAAGGGAGCCUGAACACAGGUGCUGCAUGGCUGUCGUCAGCUCGUGUCGUGAGGUGUUGGGUUAAGUCCCGCAACGAGCGCAACCCUUGUCACUAGUUGCUACGAAAGGGCACUCUAGUGAGACUGCCGGUGACAAACCGGAGGAAGGUGGGGAUGACGUCAAGUCCUCAUGGCCCUUAUGGGUAGGGCUUCACACGUCAUACAAUGGUCGGAACAGAGGGCAGCGAAGUCGUGAGACGGAGCCAAUCCCAGAAAACCGAUCGUAGUCCGGAUUGCAGUCUGCAACUCGACUGCAUGAAGUCGGAAUCGCUAGUAAUCGCGGAUCAGCAUGCCGCGGUGAAUACGUUCCCGGGUCUUGUACACACCGCCCGUCAAACAAUGGGAGUGGUGUUUACCAGAAGUCGUUAGCCUAACCGCAAGGAGGGCGGCGACCACGGUGAGCACCGUGACUAAUGUUAAGUCGUAACAAGGUAACAAGGGCGAA
rnacentral:rRNA from 1 species